AGAAAUUUUGAGCCGAAAAUCUUCUUUUAUUCUCCACUGACGAUGUUAACCAAGUUUGAAACGAAAUCUGCCUGUGUCAAAGGCCUGAGUUUCAUCCAAGAGGCCCUGGGUUCUCGCCAGUUUGCACAACGGAGUCAUCCAGCUGUGGGAUUACCGGAUAUGCACGUUGACUGACAAGUUCGACGAGCACGAUG